rnacentral:rRNA from 1 species
AUACGGAGGAUCCGAGCGUUAUCCGGAUUUAUUGGGUUUAAAGGGUGCGCAGGCGGCCAUUUAAGUCAGCGGUUAAAUCGUGGGGCUCAACCCCAUUCUGCCGUUGAUACUGGGUGGCUUGAUUGCGGUCGAGGUUGGCGGAAUUCGUUGUGUAGCGGUGAAAUGCAUAGAUAUGACGAAGAACACCGAUUGCGUAGGCAGCCGACCAGACCGCAAAUGACGCUCAUGCACGAAAGUGCGGGGAUCGAACAGGAUUAGAUACCCUGGUAGUCCGCACAGUAAACGAUGAAUACUUGUUUUCGGCGAUAUAAUGUCGGAGGCAAAGCGAAAGCGAUAAGUAUUCCACCUGGGGAGUACGCCGGCAACGGUGAAACUCAAAUGAAUUGGCGGGG